rnacentral:rRNA from 1 species
UAUCAAUAAGCGGAGGAAAAGAAACCAACAGGGAUUGCCCCAGUAACGGCGAGUGAAGCGGCAACAGCUCAAAUUUGAAAUCUGGCCCCUCCCCCGGGGGGGCCCGAGUUGUAAUUUGCAGAGGAUGCUUCUGGCGAGGUGCCUUCCGAGUUCCCUGGAACGGGACGCCGCAGAGGGUGAGAGCCCCGUCUGGUCGGUCACCGAGCCUCUGUGAAGCUCCUUCGACGAGUCGAGUAGUUUGGGAAUGCUGCUCUAAAUGGGAGGUAUAUGUCUUCUAAAGCUAAAUACCGGCCAGAGACCGAUAGCGCACAAGUAGAGUGAUCGAAAGAUGAAAAGCACUUUGAAAAGAGGGUUAAACAGUACGUGAAAUUGUUGAAAGGGAAGCGCUCACGACCAGACCUGGUCCCGGCGAAUCACCCGGCGUUCUCGCCGGUGCACUUCGACGGGCUUCCAGGCCAGCAUCAGUCCGCGCCGGGGGACAAAGGCGGCGGGAACGUGGCUCCCCAGGGAGUGUUAUAGCCCGCCGCGCAAUGCCCCGGGGGCGGACUGAGGACCGCGCGUCACCGCAAGGAUGCUGGCGUAAUGGUCGUCAGCGACCCGUCUUGAAACACGGACCAAGGAGUCGUCCUCGUAUGCGAGUGUUGGGGCGUCAAACCCCCCGCGCGUAAUGAAAGUGAACGGCAGGUGAGAGCCCUCGCGGGCGCAUCAUCGACCGAUCCUGAUGUUCUCGGAUGGAUUUGAGUAGGAGCAUACGGGGCCGGACCCGAAAGAAGGUGAACUAUGCCUGUGUAGGGUGAAGCCAGAGGAAACUCUGGUGGAGGCUCGCAGCGGUUCUGACGUGCAAAUCGAUCGUCAAACAUGGGCAUGGGGGCGAAAGACUAAUCGAACCUUCUAGUAGCUGGUUUC